rnacentral:rRNA from 1 species
UACGCAGGGGGCUAGCGUUAUCCGGAAUUACUGGGCGUAAAGGGUGCGUAGGUGGUUUCUUAAGUCAGAGGUGAAAGGCUACGGCUCAACCGUAGUAAGCCUUUGAAACUGGGGAACUUGAGUGCAGGAGAGGAGAGUGGAAUUCCUAGUGUAGCGGUGAAAUGCGUAGAUAUUAGGAGGAACACCAGUUGCGAAGGCGGCUCUCUGGACUGUAACUGACACUGAGGCACGAAAGCGUGGGGAGCAAACAGG